GCCUAGGUACAUACUACCCUGAACACACCUAAUCUCAUCUGAUCUCAGAAGCUAAGCAGGGUGGGGCCUGGUUAGUACUUGGAUGGUAAAAUGGUAAGUGAUAAAGGGGUUGUAGGAA
rnacentral:rRNA from 1 species